GCCGGGAUGGCAGAAUCAGGUAUCGCGCCAGACUCGAGAUCUGGUGGCCUUCGGGCUUUUAGGGUUCAAAUCCCUAUCCCGGCG
rnacentral:tRNA from 1 species